rnacentral:rRNA from 1 species
CCUACGGGAGGCAGCAGUGAGGAAUAUUGGUCAAUGGACGAGAGUCUGAACCAGCCAAGUAGCGUGAAGGAUGACUGCCCUAUGGGUUGUAAACUUCUUUUAUAAAGGAAUAAAACGAGGCACGUGUGCCUUUUUGCAUGUACUUUAUGAAUAAGGAUCGGCUAACUCCGUGCCAGCAGCCGCGGUAAUACGGAGGAUUCGAGCGUUAUCCGGAUUUAUUGGGUUUAAAGGGAGCGUAGAUGGGUUGUUAAGUCAGUGGUGAAAGUUUGCGGCUCAACUGUAAAAUUGCAAUCGAUACUGGCAGGCUAGAGUACAGUUGAGGUAGGCGGAAUGCGUGGUGUAGCGGUGAAAUGCUUAGAGAUCACGAAGAACCCCGAUUGCGAAGGCAGCUUACUAAGCUGUUACUGACAUUGAUGCUCGAAAGUGUGUGUAUCAAACAGGAUUAGAUACCCGUGUAGUC